CUGCACACAUUGUUAUCUGUUUUUACAUAUUUCAAGAUUCACCAGGACGAAGCCUUUAUUGAUCAUCUAUGAUUCAGAUUAGAAAACUGUAAUUUAAAGAUUAGGAGGUACCAAACUGGACUCAUCCUUGGUCUUCCUCAACCUCCAGUCCCCACUACACCCACAGUGCUAUGCUAUCUAUUCAGAUUUCUAGAAGAAGAAAAGAGAGAGCUCAUCACACAACCACUAAAACUGGGGUCACUACUGCUCUCACCAACCAGAAUAUGGUGUUCAGGGCCAUCUUCGAUAA